GACGAACGCUGGCGGCGUGCCUAAUACAUGCAAGUAUUACGCUGAAGUAUGAUCUUGCUCUUCUGGAUGAGUUGCGAACGGGUUAGUAACGCGUAGGUAACCUGCCUGGUAGCGGGGGAUAACUAUUGGAAACGAUAGCUAAUACCUCAUAAUAGUAGAUGUUGCAUGAUAUCUACUUAAAAGGUGCAAUUGCACCACUACCAGCUGGCCCUUCGUUUUAUUAGCUAGUUGGUGGGGUACCGGCUCACCAAGGCGAGGAUACAUAGCCGACCUGAGAGGGGGAUCGGACACAGUGGGAGUGAGAGAAGGCCCAGAAUGCGACGGGAGGCAGCAGUAGGGAAUCUUCGGCAAUGGAAGAAAGUAAGACCGAGCAACGCCGCGUAAGUGAAGAAGGUAAUCGGAUGGUAAAGAUCUGUUGUAAGAGAAGAAAGAGUGUGAGAGUGAAAAGUGCAAAAAGUGACGGUAUCUUACCAGAAAGGGACGGCUAAAUACGUG
rnacentral:rRNA from 1 species